UCAUAGUCCGUGACUGCAGCCCAGGUAAUCCGGGUGGUGGAAGCGUUAAUCUGAAGUAGUGGGCGUAGAGCGCACGCAGACGGGUGGAUAAGGUAGAUGGGAAAGACCCAGGCUCAACCUGGGAAUGGCAUUGAAAACUGGCCAGCUAGAGGCUUGUAGAGGGGGGUAGAAUUCCAGGUGUAGCGGUGAAAUGCGUAGAGAUCUGGAGGAAUACCGGUGGCGAAGGCUGCCCCCUGGACAAAGACUGACGCUCAGGUGCGAAAGCGUGGGGAGCAAACAGGAUUAGAUACCCCGGUAGUC
rnacentral:rRNA from 1 species